CGGGGUGCACCAGGCGCGAAAACUUCACAAUGGGAGAAAUCCCGAUGAGGGAAUUCCAAGUGCUAGCACUAUGUGUUAGCUGUUCUUUUGUCUAAAAAACAGAAGAAGUAAGGGCCGGGUAAGACGGGUGCCAGCCGCCGCGGUAAUACCCGCGGCCCGAGUGGUGGUCGAUAUUAUUGAGCCUAAAACGUCCGUAGCCGGUCUUGUAAAUCCUUGGGUAAAUCGGCCAGCUUAACUGUCCGAAGUCCGGGGAGACUGCAAGACUUGGGAUCGGGAGAGGUCAGAGGUACUUCUGGGGUAGGGGUAAAAUCCUGUAAUCCUGGAAGGACCACCGGUGGCGAAGGCGUCUGACUAGAACGAAUUCGACGGUGAGGGACGAAGCCCUGGGGCGCAAACGGGAUUAGAUACCCCGGUAGUCCAGGGUGUAAACGCUGCGGGCUUGGUGUUGGGGGUCCUUUGUGGGCGCCCAGUGCCGGAGAGAAGUUGUUAAGCCUGCUGCUUGGGGAGUACGUCCGCAAGGAUGAAACUUAAAGGAAUUGGCGGGGGAGCACAAGGGCGAAUCGC
rnacentral:rRNA from 1 species